rnacentral:rRNA from 1 species
AUGUCCGGCCGCGGCAAGGGAGGCAAGGGGCUCGGCAAGGGCGGCGCCAAGCGCCACCGGAAGGUCCUGCGCGACAACAUCCAGGGCAUCACCAAGCCGGCGAUCCGGCGGCUGGCGCGGAGGGGCGGCGUGAAGCGCAUCUCGGGGCUCAUCUACGAGGAGACCCGCGGCGUGCUCAAGAUCUUCCUCGAGAACGUCAUCCGCGACGCCGUCACCUACACCGAACACGCCCGCCGCAAGACCGUCACCGCCAUGGACGUCGUCUACGCGCUCAAGCGCCAGGGCCGCACCCUCUACGGAUUCGGCGGCUAG